UACGUAGGGUGCAAGCGUUAAUCGGAAUUACUGGGCGUAAAGCGUGCGCAGGCGGUUAUGUAAGACAGAUGUGAAAUGCCCGGGCUUAACCUGGGAACUGCAUUUGUGACUGCAUGGCUAGAGUUUGGCAGAGGGGGGUAGAAUUCCACGUGUAGCAGUGAAAUGCGUAGAUAUGUGGAGGAACACCGAUGGCGAAGGCAGCCCCCUGGGUUAACACUGACGCUCAUGCACGAAAGGCGUGGGGAGCAAACAGG
rnacentral:rRNA from 1 species